rnacentral:rRNA from 1 species
GACAGAGGGUGCAAACGUUGUUCGGAAUUACUGGGCGUAAAGCGUGUGUAGGCGGCUGCGUAAGUCGGAUGUGAAAGCCCCAGGCUCAACCUGGGAAGUGCACUCGAUACUGCGCAGCUUGAGUAUCGGAGAGGUUGGUGGAAUUCUCGGUGUAGAGGUGAAAUUCGUAGAUAUUCGCAGGAACACCAGUGGCGAAGGCGGCUUACUGGUCCAUAACUGACGCUGAGGUGCGAAAGCGUGGGGAGCAA